UGGGUCCUCGCUUACUGUAUUCCUCGACCUG
rnacentral:piRNA from 1 species